AAACAGCUCGUCCCCACAAACACGAAGGAGCUCAGAGGCACAGCAGCAGGUGGGCGAACCCCUACAGCCCAGUAAGAGGCAUGGAGACCCUGCCCCAGCCUGUCCCAAAGCUGUCCUGGGAGAGCCAUCAGCCUCGCUGUCCAGGUGUGCGACCCAGAUGAUGAACCUGCUGGAGAGGCUCUCUGGAUCACCUUGCAGACUGAGGUGCAGGCUAUGCUGUGCCACGCGUGGCCCGUGGCUGCAGGAUACACUCAGCCAGCUCACUGCAAGUGAGGAGCCUGCGGGCAGCACUUGCUCUCCCUAGCCCCGCUGCCUUGUCCCAGUGCACUACUCCUUGUAUUCUUCAAAACCUGUGACUCCCUCUCUGUUCUUCUCAGGCACAUAUGGCUUUCCCUAUCCUAGGAAAGACAUCAGGGUUCUCUAACUUCCUUCACAGAUAAGCUUGAUAUGUAAAUUAUGCAUAUAUAUUUUUACUACAAACAGUUACAGAAGUUAGAAUGAAUAAAGCACUUUUUGACGUUUUUAUCAAGGUAUUUUGAGAAGUAUUCAGGAUUAAUGCAUACUAGAAAAGUUCUACCCUAAUUCGCACACAUCAUUCAAGUGUAGCUACAAAUGGGAAUAGGCAUUGAUCUGUAAUUCGCAUAAUUAUAAUGUCAUCUUGACAGAACUUGCUAGCUAAUGUAUGGAACAGCAAGAAUAAAAUAAUUUUAUUUUAGCUAAAACUGAUUAGUUUUAGUUAGUUUAACUAAAACGGAUUUAAAUAAUGUGAGACAAAUUGGUUGAAAAAAAAUGGAGUUUUAUGUCUUCCCUUUUCAUGUUUAUUUUAUCUGCCAGUCUACACUGAUCUUUUUUUUCUGUUUGAAACUAGAAGCAACUGCAUAAUUGUCAAUUAGCAGCAUAAAUGAUUUCAUACCACCCACCUCCAUUUUUGCAAAGCAUGCAGACUGUGUUCAUACGGAAAUGUAUGUAUAGCAGUGAAUGAAUUACAGUUCUUCAAAGAUUGCUAAUUGAGAGAGCAUUAUAAUUGCUAAAACGUGGAGGAAAAUGUAUAAAGCUCUUUGGGUGCUUUAAAAUAUCUCACUGUAGGUGCAGGUUAUGAUGUAAUUUGUAACACAAUUCCAUAGUACAGCAAAACAUAAAAACAACCUUUGGAGAAUAUUCCAACAGCAAUUUGGUCCUUAAACACCAUAUGGAGAAGUAACUAAUCCUAUACACGACUCAGUGAUUCAGAGGGAUAAUCCACAGAAGAAUUUCCAUAUGGCAUUCUCAAUGUUCUUCAACACAUCCUUUUCUAUCUCCAACCCAUGCUUACGAUACGCUGGCAGAUGCACUGCUGAUACUGAAGCCUGAGUUGAAAAGCAUAAAUGAAUAUCCAUUUUAUCUCUAUUUGAAAUGAUGAGUCAUCACUUGCUAGAUGAUGCUAUUUGUCCUCUUGGAUGGUGAACCAAGGCCAGAAAGAAGAUAGAAUUUUGACUGGCACAAGCACGGCCCAUCUCUACUAUGGUACAGGUGUGACAGACUUUAUAUUUAGACAUUUGAGUUUAGAUUCAGAUUUAGAUUAUUAGGGUGGCUGAAGGAUUUGAUGGGAUUGACAUGAUUCCAUUUGAAAUACUCUUUUCCCACAUUUUGAAGGGAUCAAUUUUCUAUCCCUCAAACUCCAGAAUCUUCCAGUAUAGUUUCCUUUAUUUCCAAUUUCUCAAACUGAAAAAAACCCCUUUUUUUUCUUCUAUCAGUCUCUUAAUUUAUUCCAGAAAUCAAAUUAAAAUAAUCUUCCAUCCCAUUAGAGAGCCUUUACAUGAACAUACUACACACACUUGCUAGCAACCCUGGCCCACAUAUAGUAGUCUUGAAGGCAGCGAAUUGAUUCAGUUACAUGAAUAUGUAAGUCCAUUAUAGAGAGCAUAGAGCACAAAGACUAUAGAGCGUACAACGCAGUGUGAAGCGUGAAAAAGAAGCAUAAAUGUAUCUUGGUGACGUUUUUUAGGCAUUAUUUUUACCAUCAUCAUCUUUAACAUGGAAGGAGAUGGUAAUUAGGCUUUACUGACGCAGUUUUGCUAUGUCAAAGAGAAUGAAUGCUUCCAUUAGCCCACAACCUGUUUCUAAAUUAUCCACUUCAUAAGGUCUGUUAUCAAGAAGAAUAUUUUACUUCACUCAACAUUCUCAUUUGAAGAGAAGUAGACAUGUCUUGAAUCCCAUAACUGAUUUCAGGGGUUCAAAAUUUAGACUGACAGGUGACUUUAGUUUCUGUUCACUUGUCUGUUGGGAAAAGUUACACCAUGUAAAGCAGAGCCAGAUUUUUUUUUUAUGGACCUCUUAUGAACAUCAAAACUGCCUCUUUCAGUGGACAUGAAAUCUAUUUCAAAUUCCUUUCCAAAACUAUAGAAUAGUUUCUUAAUUUAUGCCCACUGACGAUGACAGAACCUUACUUCUUUAUUACCUUCAUAGCAAAUUGUAAUUAAUUAUAUACUCCACACUUAUUUCAUCACUUUCAGUUGGCUAUUCUUCCAGAAUCGAUGUAUGCAACAAUAAUUAUUUGCCUAUAGCAAGAUUUUAUGAACUCUAAUAUGUGCAACAUGUUCAACUUUUUUAAAAUUAAUUGCAGGCAUUGUAUUUACCAUUAAUGUACAACUUUAUUGGCUUAAAUUUCACAUCUGUGUUGCUUUAUAUAUAACUCUAUCAGUGUAACUGCACACUGCUUCUGAUGUGUGUAAUAGCAGCCACCAAACCUUGCUUUUUUUAUUUGCGUUUUACCUUUUAAUAUAAUUGUUAUGAAAAAACCCCCA